GCGUCACGUUUGAGAAGCGCUGAUGGCUUCCUGCAGGACGGGAACGGACUGUGUUCCUUUAGCUCGCACGGCUCCUCUCCUGAGUGUGAAUUUCGGUGCCUGUUGCUCCUUUACUAUAAAUCAACCUUGUGUUUUAAGGCAGCCGUCCCCAACCAUUUUGGUACCAGUUUCAUGGGAGACAAUUUUCCCACGUACUGUGGGAUGAGGGUGGGGUUGGGGGGAUGGUUUUGGGAUGAAACUGUUCCACCUCGUAUGCUCAGGCAUUAGUUAGAUUCUCAUAAGGAGCACGCAACCUGGAUCCCUCUCACACGCACAGCUCACGACAGGGUUCAUGCUCCUAUGAGAUCGAAUGCCGCCGCCGAUCCGACGGGAGGCUGUGCGGCCCAGUUCCUGACAGGCCACGGACCAGUACCUGUCCACACUUGGGGUUGGGCACCCCUGUUUAAAGGUACCUUGUUAAUCUGCCCAGUCUAGUCCCAGAGAACGCCAAAGGCAUGUGUUCAUGCCAAAUUGUGAACAGAGCAGAAUCCCCAGGCAGCACAUGGCUCUGGGCACUGGGGAAAAGGAAGGACCUGAGUGGUCACGCUGAGGAAUCAUCACUGUCCUCAGCAGAGCAGCGGAGGGACCUUUUGAAGUGCCCGCUGGCU
rnacentral:lncRNA from 1 species